rnacentral:rRNA from 1 species
GGAGGAUCCGAGCGUUAUCCGGANUUANNGGGUNUAAAGGGUGCGNAGGCGGCCUNUUAAGUCAGCGGUGAAAGNCUGUGGCNCAACCANAGAAUNGCCGUNGAAACUGGGGGGCUUGAGUAUGUUUGAGGCAGGCGGAAUGCGUGGUGNAGCGGUGAAAUGCUUAGAUAUUCACGCAGAACCCCGANCGCGAAGGCAGCCUGCCAAGCCAUGACUGACGCUGAUGCACGAAAGCGUGGGGAUCAAACAGGAUUAGAUACCCUGGUAGUCCACGCAGUAAACGAUGAUCACUAGCUGUUUGCGAUACAGAGUAAGCGGCACAGCGAAAGCGUUAAGUGAUCCACCUGGGGAGUACGCCAGCAACGGUGAAACUCAAAGG